rnacentral:rRNA from 1 species
UACGGAGGGUGCAAGCGUUAUCCGGAUUCACUGGGUUUAAAGGGUGUGUAGGCGGGUAGUUAAGUCAGUGGUGAAAUCUCCAGGCUCAACCUGGAAACUGCCAUUGAUACUAUCUAUCUUGAAUUUUGUUGAGGUAGGCGGAAUAUGUCAUGUAGCGGUGAAAUGCAUAGAUAUGACAUAGAACACCAAUUGCGAAGGCAGCUUACUAAGCAAAUAUUGACGCUGAGGCACGAAAGCGUGGGGAUCAAACAGG